GACGAACGCUGGCGGCGUGCUUAACACAUGCAAGUCGAACGGAAAGGCCCUGCUUUUGUGGGGUGCUCGAGUGGCGAACGGGUGAGUAACACGUGAGUAACCUGCCCUUGACUUUGGGAUAACUUCAGGAAACUGGGGCUAAUACCGGAGAGGAGCUCCUGCUGCAUGGUGGGGGUUGGAAAGUUUCGGCGGUUGGGGAUGGACUCGCGGCUUAUCAGCUUGUUGGUGGGGUAGUGGCUUACCAAGGCUUUGACGGGUAGCCGGCCUGAGAGGGUGACCGGCCACAUUGGGACUGCGAUACGGCCCAGACUCCUACGGGAGGCAGCAGUGGGGAAUAUUGCACAAUGGGCGGAAGCCUGAUGCAGAAACGCCGCGUGCGGGAUGACGGCCUUCGGGUUGUAAACAGCUUUCGCCUGUGACGAAGCGUGAGUGACGGUAAUGGGUAAAGAAGCACCGGCUAACUACGUG
rnacentral:rRNA from 1 species